AAGAAGACUUUCUGCCUCCAGUCUGAAAUCCAGAAGAAGAUGUAUGAGGCCCAUGUCAAUGAGAAGCUUGCCCGGCGUCGUCAGAUUGCGAUGAUGAAGCACCUCAACAUGCCUAUCCAGAGUGGUUCUGAGAAGAGCAUCACACCGGAGGAGCUAUGGAUCUCUGCACACAGCAUGUGGUCUGAUGAUGUGGUCCCUCGCCAGCCUUCCACCUCCUUUGCUGCAGCUGAUGAUAUCAUGGAGGAAUCUGAUCACGACGAUGAUGACGAGUCUGCUGAUGAUGAGGAUCCAGAUGCUACCAAGGAGUCAGAGGAGGAG
rnacentral:rRNA from 1 species